UUUCAAGUCUAAAGCUGAGAACUAUAGAGCGCAAUAUGACUUUGCUCAGACUUAAGAUUGAGUUAAACGAGACAGAUCUACGUGAGAGAUAUACCUCUGUCUCCUAUUAACUCAGUCUUAAGUCUAAGCCAAGUCAGAGUGCGCUCUAUAGAUCUCACCCAUAGAGUUAAUCUCAGUGUCAACUUAUAUGAGUACAUUUUG